UGAGAAUGUGCCUUCGGGAACCGUGAGACAGGUGCUGCAUGGCUGUCGUCAGCUCGUGUUGUGAAAUGUUGGGUUAAGUCCCGCAACGAGCGCAACCCUUAUCCUUUGUUGCCAGCGGUCCGGCCGGGAACUCAAAGGAGACUGCCAGUGAUAAACUGGAGGAAGGUGGGGAUGACGUCAAGUCAUCAUGGCCCUUACGACCAGGGCUACACACGUGCUACAAUGGCGCAUACAAAGAGAAGCGACCUCGCGAGAGCAAGCGGACCUCAUAAAGUGCGUCGUAGUCCGGAUUGGAGUCUGCAACUCGACUCCAUGAAGUCGGAAUCGCUAGUAAUCGUGGAUCAGAAUGCCACGGUGAAUACGUUCCCGGGCCUUGUACACACCGCCCGUCACACCAUGGGAGUGGGUUGCAAAAGAAGUAGGUAGCUUAACCUUCGGGAGGGCGCUUACCACUUUGUGAUUCAUGACUGGGGUGAAGUCGUAACAAGGUAACCGUAGGGGAACCUGCGGUUGGAUCACCUCCUUA
rnacentral:rRNA from 3 species